ACCCUCUGGACUCCCUACCCCUGAAAUCUAAGCACUGGUCUGAGUGACUAUCCAAGGAGGAAAAUUAAAACUGAAGUGAACUUGGAAUGUUUAAUGACAUAGAAAUUCAUUUCAAACAAAA
rnacentral:snoRNA from 1 species